GAUGAACGCUGGCGGCGUGCCUAAUACAUGCAAGUCGAGCGAACGGACGAGAAGCUUGCUUCUCUGAUGUUAGCGGCAGACGGGUGAGUAACACGUGGAUAACCUACCUAUAAGACUGGGAUAACUUCGGGAAACCGGAGCUAAUACCGGAUAAUAUUUUGAACCGCAUGGUUCAAAAGUGAAAGACGGUCUUGCUGUCACUUAUAGAUGGAUCCGCGCUGCAUUAGCUAGUUGGUAAGGUAACGGCUUACCAAGGCAACGAUGCAUAGCCGACCUGAGAGGGUGAUCGGCCACACUGGAACUGAGACACGGUCCAGACUCCUACGGGAGGCAGCAGUAGGGAAUCUUCCGCAAUGGGCGAAAGCCUGACGGAGCAACGCCGCGUGAGUGAUGAAGGUCUUCGGAUCGUAAAACUCUGUUAUUAGGGAAGAACAUAUGUGUAAGUAACUGUGCACAUCCUGACGGUACCUAAUCAGAAAGCCACGGCUAACUACGUG
rnacentral:rRNA from 1 species